CCCAGCUGGGAAACUUGGCUGUCUUGUCAAUUUCAUGACUCUGUCCUGAAGCUGUGAAACUGACAAGGCUCCAUGGCUCCUGGCAGGGAUCAGGCAGGGGUAGCCUGCUGGGAGCCUGUGGGGAGCUCCUGGCAGAGAGCUGCCAAUGGACCCAAGACAUAGGGCUGUCAGUUCCCCACACUGUCCCUAUUAGGUGAGUGGAAGUGCUCCUAGUGAGGAUGCACACCGCUGAUUCAAGGACAGCUUGUGGACAUGCACCACUGCAGCAAUUACUGUGGUGGUUGUAAAUUGACCUACUAUAGGUUGACUUAUGUUUCUAGUAUAGACAUGCCCUAUAUAAGUGCUGUUCAAAAAAGUGGAAUUAAUAACUGGAGCAUGUAAUGCAAUGACAUGUAAACACAUCCCCUCCCCCCCUUAAAGAUCUCUUCCUAUUUAAAAUGUAUUUCUGCUUGUCUUGUCUUUUCUAUUUUGCUCUGUCAAAUCUUAAGUCAUUCUUAGAUGAAGAUUUCUGUUCUCUCUGCCAGAACCCAGCUCCCACACAGAAAAGAGACUCUUAUGGGCAAAAAAGUUUGUGCACAUAAAUCAGAAAAAUGCUGAAUCCAAUUCUGCUUCUCUUGAACUCGCAUGCAAACCUCCCAUUGUCUUGCAAUAAGAGAAGCAGGCCAUGGCUACAGCUACAUUUGCCUAUACAAAUAUUUUAUUUUACAAAUGAUUGUUGCACAAGUGCAAACAAGUAUGGCCAUAUAGCCCCUAAUGUCAAGUAAAAAGCUCUAGAGUUUGCUUUUAUUAGACAAUAAUUGAGGCUCCUUCAUGCAUGAACUGAAGACUAUUGGCCUUGUAGCUGCUGUUAUGGUGGUGAUGGUGGCAGGCCAGACAGAUACACCCAGGUUUCACUGAACUGCCAUUUCAGACUAAUUCACGGAAGCCAGUGGUUUUAUCUGUAUAAAACCUAAACAAUUUAUGUAAUAGCCAUCUGAAAUAUCCUUGGUGCAAAUGAGCUCCCAAUAUUGAAUUUUUUAAAAAAAAAUCAAGAUUUGACUUCAGGAAAACGUUAAGGUUUGUCUAAAUAAGUAGCUAGUGUACUGAAAGCAAUUGCAUGGAACUUGUCAGUUUAUUAGAUUAGAAUAGACUAGGCUACAUGCUUUUUUGUUUCAUAAAUAGAGAAGUGUUUGAAUGAAAUAGCCUCUGUACAGCUUUCUAGUAGCUGUCAUUAAAGUAAAACAAACCAAAUGUCUUGUCUAGAGAGCAGUUCUGUAUAAAGUAAUAAAACCUAUAAUUGAAACAUGAUUCUUGAAAUGGUAAGGCAGCUAAGGAAACUGUUUCUUUUUUUAAUCUUGUGAGCUUUGCAUUAGGCAGUAACACCACAUGGUGGAAUAGAAGUGAAACUUCAGUUACACUUUUCAGUUGUCCUCACUUUUACAGACAACAUUGGUGCAUUAAGUGGCACCAAAUGGUCAAAAUAAGAUUGGGAGCACAUUAUGCUAGAUGCUGCAAACAGCUCCUGUGUCAAAGUUUAUUCAGUCUUCAUAGACAAAACAAAAGGUAGGAAGGGCUGAGGCAAAGGUGUGGUGACUUUCACACAACAAAGCGAGUAUUAGAACAAUGUUACUGUUCUGUUCCACAUGUGUGAUACUGAUAUUGUAUAUGCACAGCAUGAGGAUUUACUACCUUAGUCUAGUUACAGGGACUAUACAUGAAGGUUACAUUUCAAAGCUGCCUCUCUCUCAGCCUUUUUGCAGAGACAAAUCAUCCCUGAUGAUACUAUAUGAAGAUCUGAGCUCAUUUAACAGUACGUGUUAGUGAAUUUAGUCUAGGCUCCUAUCCAUCAGCCGUUGGUUGACUAGUUAUAGCUAAAACUGGAACCCACGGAACUUGACUCUAUUUCUGUGGCUAAGGAUAAAUACUUUUGGGGGACGUGGGGUUAUCAGUCUUAACAUAGGACAGAGGGAUUCUCAAUCAUCCUAAAAGAUAGGCUUGUACUCUUUUAUGUAAAAAAAAACUAAACAAAUUUGUUGAUCUUCUUUAAACUCAGGUCUUGUUCGGUCUGAAAUACUCUAUGGGGACUACAGAACUAGUGAAAUGUUUAAGAGAAUGAAAGCUAAGCAAAUGAGAUGGGAAGAAGGUAAUCAAUGUUUACAUUUGUUAGCUCCAGUUUUUAAAUUAAAUAGAUGUUCUCUGUCUGUACACAGCAUCUAAUGGCCACUUUGGAUAAAGGACUCAUUCAGUAUCCCAGCAUCUUCAGUUAAAGUGAGAUCUCACAAUACACUGAAGCUGUCCGGCGGCAAAGUCUGGAAAGACUAGACUUGAUAUGUCCAAGGCCUUUUAGCAGACAGGCCAUCCCUAAUGAUAUUAUAUGACCAUCUUAGCCCUUUUGACAGUAAUUUUUUCUUCCUCUGUCUGCGGACAGCCUGAAAUCAUGGACCUAAGGAGUGAACCAGCAUAGUCUAUGUAAGUAUAUGGCUCUUGUUGCUGUAGUGUCUUAACACAUCUGCUGAAAUGGGAAAGAUUUUUAUUCACUUGACAGAGUAGGGAAACUUGAAGUGUGAUAGACUUCUCUGUAACCUGUGUCACUUACUCUGUUGCUGAACCAGGAAUUGAACCCAGGUCUUCUGACUUUCUCCAAUGCUAUAGCCACUAAACUGUGCCUGCUACAUCCUUUAUAGUGGCAAAUUCAUCUUAAUGGAUAUUAACCCAAAUAUGAAGCCAACAAUUUAAAUGUCUGUAUUAACUUUCACUGAGCUUUUGCAGAAACAUACCACAGUCAAACUGCUGCUCUCCUGGGUUCCCAGCUGCCAGAUUCUCCAGCUUCCCUACCCUGAAAACCUUGAUGUUUCUGAAGUUUUUCCUCUACACUUUGAGGACUGGUUGCUUUCCUUUUACAGUGUUUGGGAAGAGUUCCAAAAUUCUCCUAAAUUGUCAGGAGAAGGUCUGCAGGUGAGAUUUAUCAUCAUGUUCUCAUCCUGUGUGAAUGCAUUAACAGUUUGAUAUGAAGAAACUAUCUAAUCAACAGAACACUUAAAGUGAACUGCCUUUUCAUUUUCCAAAUGCUGCCCUUAAUAUCAAUCAGCGAUCUAGCUUUUUCAAAGCAAUAACUGUCUUAAUAUAUUUGAGUUGAUGGUCACAGAAAUACACAACUACUAUGUAAAUAAAUAAUGUUGCUUCCAGCAUCAUAUGUGACCUUUGGUUAAAACAAGUGCCAACAGUCCUUGGACUUUCAAAAAGACAAAUAUUCAAACCACAGUUGUAUUUCAAAUUUUUGUUAAGUUAAGUUAAAAGUUAUGAAUAUUCCAGGUGGUGAAUAAGGAUUGUAAUAUUCAAAUUAUACUGAAUUUGAUUUCUGAUUAAUAUAGUUAAGGUUUCAGAAUUAAACUUUUUUUUAUAGGAAGUAGACCAAAUUUACUAUUGUAUUGAAGAGACACUAAUAAAUAUAAAGCAAGUCAUUUACUAAUGAAAAGACUGACAGUAGCAGCUAAAUGUACCUGCCAAAUCCAGGGUAAUUUUUGUUGCACUUAUUACUGCUCUUCCCUUCUUUCACUGUAGUUUCUAUGGGCCAAGUUCUGUCACCUAUAUCUCCUGAGCAUGAUGGAAGGGACCAGUUGUAGAUAGACUUCUGUAUCCUUGAUUAUCCACACAUGGAUUGCCAUGAUGUGUGAGAUAGGGAUGAAUGCAUUUCAUCAUGGGUGCUUUUCUGGAGAUGGACCAGCUGCCUGAACAACAUGCUUCUUUGUGG